rnacentral:rRNA from 1 species
UUUUUUAUGGUUAGUAAAUAAAAUAUUUUCUGCCCACUGAGCUGGUUAAAGGGCCGCAGUAUCUUGACUGUGCUAAGGUAGCAUAAUCAUUUGGUUUUUAAAUGGGAUCUAGUAUGAAUGGAGUAACGAUUGAAGACUUUCUUUUGAGAUAUUUUUAAAUUUAAUUAUUCUAGUAAAAAAUCUAGAUUUAUUUUAAGGGACGAUAAGACCCUAUGAAGCUUUAUUAAUGUUGUUUUAAUUUAUUUUUACUUUUGUGGGGCAAUUUAAUUUUGCUGGGGCGGCGGAUAAAAAUAAACUUAUUUAUUAAUUUUUUAGGGGAGCCAAUAUUAUUGAGUAAAGGUUUAAGUUACUUUAGGGAUAACAGGAUAAUUUAUUUAGGGAGUUCAAAUCGGAGAAUAAGUUUGUUACCUCGAUGUUGAAUUAAAAAUAAUAUAAGGUGUAGAAUCUUUAUGAUUUAGUCUGUUCGACUAUUAAAUUUUUACA